UGGGGAAUAUUGGACAAUGGGCGCAAGCCUGAUCCAGCAAUGCCGCGUGUGUGAAGAAGGCCUUCGGGUUGUAAAGCACUUUUGUUCGGGAAGAAAUCCGUAUGGUUAAUACCCGUACGGGAUGACGGUACCGAAAGAAUAAGCACCGGCUAACUUCGUGCCAGCAGCCGCGGUAAUACGAAGGGUGCAAGCGUUAAUCGGAAUUACUGGGCGUAAAGCGUGCGUAGGCGGUUUGUUAAGUCAGAUGUGAAAGCCCCGGGCUCAACCUGGGAACUGCAUUUGAUACUGGCAGGCUAGAGUACGGUAGAGGGUGGUGGAAUUCCCGGUGUAGCGGUGAAAUGCGUAGAGAUCGGGAGGAACAUCCGUGGCGAAGGCGGCCACCUGGACCAGUACUGACGCUGAGGCACGAAAGCGUGGGGAGCAAACAGG
rnacentral:rRNA from 1 species